CCUACGGGAGGCAGCAGUGGGGAAUAUUGCACAAUGGGGGAAACCCUGAUGCAGCAACGCCGCGUGAGCGAUGAAGGCCUUCGGGUCGUAAAGCUCUGUCCUAAGGGAAGAAGCAUGACGGUACCUUAGGAGGAAGCCCCGGCUAACUACGUGCCAGCAGCCGCGGUAAUACGGAGGGGGCGAGCGUUAUCCGGAAUCACUGGGCGUAAAGGGUGCGUAGGCGGCCAAUUAAGCCAGAGGUGAAAGGCUACGGCUCAACCGUAGUAAGCCUCUGGAACUGAAUGGCUUGAGUGGAGGAGGGGAGAGUGGAAUUCCUAGUGUAGCGGUGAAAUGCGUAGAUAUUAGGAGGGACACCAGUUGCGAAGGCGGCUCUCUGGACUGUAACUGACGCUGAGGCACGAAAGCGUGGGGAGCGAACAGGAUUAGAUACCCUAGUAGUC
rnacentral:rRNA from 1 species